rnacentral:lncRNA from 1 species
ACGAAUGGCAGAUUCUCACCGAUGUCAGCAAGUGCCCUGCGGAGUGGGCUGUGAUAUACAUAUGUAAGUAUCAGUUCAAAAUCAGUUUAAUGUAACACAUGGAUAAACGCUGAAACUUACGGUACUUGCUAUUCAUCUGUGCGCCUCCCCUUGAAAUGCACCGUUCCUUCGGUGGUCAUCUGGCGCACAGUUAGGACCAACACCUUUAAGGCCGUCGACGCGUUGUACGGAGCCCAAUUUCACACUUGUUGGCUUCGCGCGUGCUGGUGCAUUAUUCAAGAGGUUCUUGUUAGUUUUCCAAACCAAUGACCAUCCCAUCAUUAGACAAGAGACUGGCCACAGGCUCUCCGCAGCGAUGGAGCUGGAAGCGGGCAGAUAAUGCAUGGCGGCAACGGUAAAUCACGUGCAAACAAAUGCAUCCAGCGGAGCUAACUAAUUAAAUUUGCUUAUUUCAUUUGGAGUGCCUGCUAUUACUUUGUUGCAGCAUUUAGAGAGGAAUAUUUAGCUAAAAUGAUAUGAUGGGAAUGCAUGUUAAUUAAAUUAUUUAAUGGCAGUGUUUAACCCAAUUAAUAGCACUUACCAAAAAAUAGGAUGAAAGACCUGAUUCACUUUAUGUCUCCGGACAUCUCAAUGCGCACAUCUGGCAACUCCGCAAAACAUUCAAAGACAAUAAAUAGAAAAGAGGAAUAAAAAAAACACAAACAUACACAGCCCCAUGCAUACUCGUUUAUAACUGUUAAGAACGGCGACCCAGCAAUAAUUACCAUCUGGCAACCCCAGUCCGCACACAAGCAAGCACAAAAGCACAAAGAGGAAUAAAAGGAACAAAAUAAAUGUGUAUCCGUAACUGUUCCAUCUCCAUCUCGCUCCCACCCUUUGACUUCUUGCCCUGCUGAACAGCAGUUCAGCAUAACGGAAUUUCAAGCGAAAAGGAAUUCCAAAGAGAAAUAAUGUAAUAGGAAACUGUCGCCCAGCACUUUGGAGCUAUUUUUAGACGACACAAUACAAUUUAGAGACAAG